AUGGCCCUCAGUAACCCACUCUGGCAGAAGACACUGGCAUUUUUGCCGCAGGGACUAUCUCACUGGAUCUUCUUUCCUGCAGUAAGAGGUGGUUUGGGUGCUGCUGAAGGUCAUUGUCUCAAUUUGUCUGGUGUUUGCAGAAGAGAUGUCUGCAAAGUAGUAGAAGAUCAAAUUGGUGCCUGCCGAAGAAGGAUGAAGUGCUGUAGAGCAUGGAGGAUUUUAAUGCCAAUUCCAACACCACUUAUCAUGUCAGAUUAUCAAGAACCCCUUAAACCUAAGUUGAAAUGAAACUGACAUAAAAUAAAAAUACAUCAAAAGUGAAGUUAUUUGCAUCUAAGAAUAUUAAAAU